ACUACUUCUGGACUGAUCAGCUGUGUGUGUGGAUGGACGCCACGUCGUCUGAACCUUUAUGUCCAAUUCGAUAUGUAUGCACAAGCCACACUGUUAUCGUAAUCGUUAAAUUAAGUUUUUCGCUAUUCAUCACGUGCCAAAUACAAAGAAGUAAAAAUGUUAAGAACACCAUCAUGUGGUUCUCCUGUCCUAGGCAAAUCUCCCCGUCUUUAUUAUCCUUUUGGCAAUAUUCAAGGCAGGAAUGUAUUGAAAAAAUACAACUUUCAUGAAAGUGAUGACAACACUGGUAUAACUAAGAUUCUCUUUUUGGGAUGUGGAGACCUAAGAAAAACUUUUCACGCAAUAACUACUAAACACCCACAACAUACUCAUCUUAAUGAUGCUCUUCCAUCAAUUUUGGCUCGCAACAUUAUGGUGUUGAAAAUUGUUUCAGCCAAUGAUUUCAAUCCAGAUGACACUGAUUUAUCUGGGAUGUGUGGUAUAACACGGAUUGGGCGGAAAUCACACAGAAAAGAUUUCUAUCAGUUCUGAAUGACCUGUUGAAUGAGAAGCUCCCAGAAAAUGUUCAUAUUCCUGACAGCAAUCAUUUGCAAAAGUUGAAGAAAGUUUGGAGUUCUUGGCAUGCUACUGCCUCACAAAAUCAAUUGGAAUCAGAUCUACUGAUGAAAAAAAUACAUAUAGAAAGGAUUCACUUGAUUGUAAAAGGCAUGGAUAGUAUGUCGGUCGGAGGGUUGCGGGAGAAAUCUAAGAAUCCUGUGCAUUUCGUUUCUUCAGUCAUCGAUUGGUUGGCUGAUCACGUCGAAAAACAUUUUGGUGUCGGUAAUGAAGCUUCUACAGAAAGAGUGGUCAGAGGUGAAGCCCUCUCUUAUUUUCUCUGGAAAUUGCAGAAUCAAUCAGGAAUCUGGCGUAUGCAUUAAUCCAACACUUCUAGACCCAACGUCACUCGAAUGGAAAGUCCACUAUUUAUCAUCUCCUUUCGAUAGCUACCUGCCUCUGACCAAAGAAGAGCUGGAUACUUCAGUCAAGAGCAAUAUGAUGACCCAAUCUUGCCAGAAAAUACUAAAGAGACUUUUGCUUUCUUAAAAAAGUAAAGUAGUAUCAUUUCCUAUUUCCUAUGGAUCUGGUUGAAGGUCAUAACUCAUAAGGAACGUUACGUAAGUGUCAUAUGCGGUGGUGUAAGGUUGGGUGAGAAUUAGGAAAGACACGUGUUCAUCAUUAUCAAGCAGGUAGAAUUGCUGCAAGGCUUGAGUUGAGAGACCCAUCCCCAGCAACGUCAUCCUGCAGAAGGAAAGGCCAGUUUGCAUUUCAAUCGAAGGUCAUGGAGUAAAACGUUUCAUGCAGUGGUGUAGAGGUUGGGUGAGAACGGGACUUUUUGCAUCAUUAUCAAAAAGGUAGAAAAACCGCAAGGUUUGAGAGGUGAGGGUGAGAAAAAAUCGUAUAAAAGGAGAGAGAAAUGGCGAUAGAUCAGUCGAGUGAGCAUCUCCGACCCGGCAACAACUGCACUAUUUGUCAUCAACUGCAUCGUAGUUAAUUCUGGCCUCGUUCUACUGUUGGUUAUCGUUGAUCGCUGUGCCGACCAGUGGUGUACCGAUGUCUCCUGGGUAUGGCGGAUACCAAACCGCAACGCCGCCGUCUUACUACAAAACAAUAUCAAACCCAACGACCAGUUACUACACCGAGGCCCCCAACUACUACACUGAGAAGGCCAAAUAUUACGGGCCCAAGUAUUACUC
rnacentral:lncRNA from 1 species